GUGCUCACUUCGGCAGCAAAUAUACUAAAAUUGGAAUGAUACAGAGAAUAUUAGCAUGGCCCCUACACAGGAUGACACGCAAAUUCGUGAAACAUUCCAUAUUUUU
ensembl:snRNA U6 U6 spliceosomal RNA